rnacentral:misc_RNA from 1 species
UCCGAGUUAACCCCGGCAGUCUCUCAUGAGUGCCCACCAUCACGUGAUGGCAACAUAAGACAAGGGUUGCGCUCGUUGCGGGACUUAACCCAACAUCUCACGACACGAGCUGACGACAACCAUGCACCACCUGUACACCAGCCACAAGGGAAGCUACAUCUCUGCAGCGAUCUGGUGUAUGUCAAGCCCAGGUAAGGUUCUUCGCGUUGCAUCGAAUUAAUCCACAUGCUCCGCCGCUUGUGCGGGCCCCCGUCAAUUCCUUUGAGUUUUAGCCUUGCGGCCGUACUCCCCAGGCGGGGCGCUUAAUGCGUUAGCUGCGGCACAGAAGACGUGGAAGUCCCCUACACCUAGCGCCCACCGUUUACGGCAUGGACUAC